GGAUGUGAAGGUGAUCUGGCUGCGAUAUCUUUCACCCCAUUGAUCACCAGGGUUGAUUCGGCUGAUCUGUUUGGCUAGGCGGGUGUCUCCUUCCUUCCUCACUGCUCCAUGUGAAUCCCUCCUGAAGCUGCGCGCUCCAUCGAAGAGGACGACUAUACCCAAUAAAGGAGGACCAUUCUUUGGUCAAGGGUUUAUGAGUAGCUGCGCUCCCCUGCUAGAACCUCCAAACAAGCUCUCAAGAAAUUAGUGAAUGGAGAAAAACAUGCCAUGCUAACACUAAUCAAAAGAAUGCAGGAAUAGGCAUAUUAAGUUU
rnacentral:snRNA from 1 species